ACGAUGAAGAGUUUGAUCCUGGCUCAGGAUGAACGCUAGCGGCAGGCCUAACACAUGCAAGUCGAGGGGUAGAAGAAGCUUGCUUUUUUGAGACCGGCGCACGGGUGAGUAACGCGUAUGCAACCUACCUUAUACAGGGGAAUAGCCCGAAGAAAUUCGGAUUAAUGCUCCAUGGUUUAUCGAUAUGGCAUCGUAUUGAUAAUAAAGAUUUAUCGGUAUAAGAUGGGCAUGCGUAUCAUUAGCUAGUUGGUGUGGUAACGGCAUACCAAGGCAACGAUGAUUAGGGGUCCUGAGAGGGAGAUCCCCCACACUGGUACUGAGACACGGACCAGACUCCUACGGGAGGCAGCAGUGAGGAAUAUUGGUCAAUGGAGGCAACUCUGAACCAGCCAUGCCGCGUGCAGGAUGACGGUCCUAUGGAUUGUAAACUGCUUUUGUACAGGAAGAAACCUCCCUACGAGUAGGGACUUGACGGUACUGUAAGAAUAAGGAUCGGCUAACUCCGUGCCAGCAGCCGCGGUAAUACGGAGGAUCCGAGCGUUAUCCGGAAUUAUUGGGUUUAAAGGGUUCGUAGGCGGCUUUGUAAGUCAGUGGUGAAAUUUCCUAGCUUAACUAGGACACUGCCAUUGAUACUGCAGAGCUUGAAUAGUAUGGAAGUAACUAGAAUAUGUAGUGUAGCGGUGAAAUGCUUAGAUAUUACAUGGAAUACCAAUUGCGAAGGCAGGUUACUACGUAUUUAUUGACGCUGAUGAACGAAAGCGUGGGGAGCGAACAGGAUUAGAUACCCUGGUAGUCCACGCCGUAAACGAUGGAUACUAGCUGUUCGGUUUUCGGACUGAGUGGCUAAGCGAAAGUGAUAAGUAUCCCACCUGGGGAGUACGUUCGCAAGAAUGAAACUCAAAGGAAUUGACGGGGGCCCGCACAAGCGGUGGAGCAUGUGGUUUAAUUCGAUGAUACGCGAGGAACCUUACCAGGGCUUAAAUGUAGAUUGACAGAUUUGGAAACAGAUUUUUCUUCGGACAAUUUACAAGGUGCUGCAUGGUUGUCGUCAGCUCGUGCCGUGAGGUGUCAGGUUAAGUCCUAUAACGAGCGCAACCCCUAUUGUUAGUUACCA
rnacentral:rRNA from 1 species